GAUGAACGCUGGCGGCGUGCUUAACACAUGCAAGUCGAACGGACGGGCGAGAAGCUUGCUGUUCUCAUGUUAGGGGCGGACGGGUGAGUCACACGAGGAUACCCUACCUAUAAGACUGGGAUAACUACGGGAAUCCGGAUAUAACACCCGAUAAUAUUUUGAACCGCAGGGUUCGAAAGUGAAAGCCGGUCUUGCUGGCACUUCUAGAUGGUUCCGCGCUGCAUUAGCUAGUUGGUAGGGUAACGGCUUACCAAGGCUACGAUGCAUAGCCGACCUGAGAGGGUGAUCGGCCACACUGGAACUGAGACACGGUCCAGACUCCUACGGGAGGCAGCAGUGGGGAAUCUUGGGCAAUGGGGGAAAGCCUGACGGAGCAACGCCGCGUGAGUGAUGAAGGCCUUCGGAUCGUAAAACGCUGUUGUUAGGGAAGAACAUAUUUGGAAGAAUCCGUGCAGGGCUUGACGGUACCGGAUCAAAAAGCACCGGCUAACUACGUG
rnacentral:rRNA from 1 species